UGCAAAGCCAGACAACACCCCCACCCCUAACCCCGAGAAAAGCGGUUGGCCCCCUGAACGCCACCACUACCAGCGCGAUCAUCAGCGCGCGUUGCCUGUCUCCGUCUCUGUCAGCCUCCUCGUGUGCUGCCCUCGGACACUCUUUCCUGCCUUCCACAUCCUCCGUCUAUCAUCCUAUCACGAGCGUCUACCGCAUGCGGCUAACGUAACGCAGCGGCGCGAAGGUAACAAGCGCAGACGAAAUCUAAGAAGGCCAACGGAGAGGUGGUGCGUUGUGUGGGACGAGGGAAGAAGGGAGGGAGAGAGGGGGGGGGGCUGUCAACGUGUGAAAGCUAUACCAGCGCGCACACAUACACCCCUUCAUCUUGUCUGUCUCGCUGCGGGGGGGGGGGGCGGGUAGCGGGUCAGCGUGACGGCGUGCCGGCUGCUUUGCUUCACCGCUGUUGUCUGCCCUCGUGUGUGCGCGCGACACGCCUCGCGCACUCGUCCACCACCCCCACUCCUCUUCUUCGCGUUGUGCUUCUGUUCGGUCUCCGCUCCCGCUCGACCGCUGUGUGCUUCGGGGCGUUGGCUUUGUAGCGGACUCGAAGCACACGAGUGAGGAGAGGGCUGCGGCGGCGCGAUGCAGCGACGUGGCUGGCGCCCUGGCCAUGACCCUCCUGGGUCCUCGCCAGUGACCUGGCUCUCGAAUACGAGUUGCACUUUCUCCUACGCAUCAUCGGCGGCGGCGCGGGGCGCGCUGAUCUGUGGCGCUGCUGCAGCUUCGAUAGUGGAGACGCAGCAGCUGGCGGACGCAGCGGCGCGAGCGAGAUGCCGCGCACAUUGUCGAUGCGGAAGCGCCGCCACGGCGCUACGGCGAUCGAGCCUUCAACUGCCGACUCGGCGCCUGCAGUCCUCCACACUUGCCAGUGCCCCGUUUAUUGUCACACGGAAGUGCCCACUGCACACGGCGUCGUCGCCACCGCCAUGUGCUGAGCCUGCGCCGCAGGGCCACAGCGGCGGUGACGGCCGUUUUUCUGUGCCGACCCCAUCAGCCGCAGCGGCUGCAACGGAUUCGACGCGGCAGGAAGUGGUGCACCGCAGACGACAGGCAAAGCGGGCGGCUGCGCGCAGUGAGAGCGCCUCCACCAGCGCCGAAAAGCGCGCGAGCGAGGAAGCGGGCCGAUACGGUCGUGAUGCGCGUGACACCAGCAGUGGCCACCCCCGGCACACAAAACAGCCCCUGUCAGCCGCCGCCGCCGCCUCACAGAGGACGCCCAUGCCAGCGCGGCAAGACGAAUGCAUCUCGGGCCAGGGGCCAGCACUUCUGGAAGCGGCCCGACUUCCUGCUCCGCCGACGCGUUACAACGCCACGCCGGAGUCCAUCUGCAGCUACCUUCUUACCCUUCGCCGCGCGGUCAGCUGCAACCGCGCCGGAACUCACCUCUCGAGUAUGACGCGCCGAGCUGCCCUGGUUUUCAUGCAUCAGAUCCUGCCGACACUCAUGGCGAUGCCGCCGGUGCCGGAGGCUGAUCUGCUGACGGGGUCAACGGUGUCAACACCCGGGGGCGAUGCCGCAGUUGAGCGACACGAUGUGGAAUCGGGGGCAAGCAGUAGCAUUUCCGACGCCGCGCGCGCGAGCUGCGACGUCGAGCCUCUCGCUCAUCCUUCUUUUCCACCUCAGCCGCCGCCCCGUGCGUCUCAUCCGAACACGCUUGAGUCGCUUCCUGCCAGUGCCGAUGCGUCCCGGCAGCUGAAAGAGUGGGGCAAGGGGACCGUUCCGUGGACAGAGCCGCUUGCGGAAGCCAUUCUGCUGAUGUGCAACAGGCUUGAUUGCGAGAUACGUCAAAUGUGGGUCGCGCGAGCCGCGCUGCUCUACCUUGUGUUCGAAGAGGGGAAGGCCUGUGCAGACCCCCUGCAGCCGCAGCCCGCUGCCUUGGGCGCCCCUGCGAGCAGCCCGACGCGCACGCCAAGGAGUACUCUGAACGACAAGGCGCAGCUGGCGCUCGCGCUGAUGCGGACGCUGGAGGUGCAUCGUCGUCAGAGUCGCCUGAUGCGUGAGGUGCUGCGCCCGGUGACGAUGCGGUUUGCACUGCAGCUGCGCGAGAAAGCCAAUGCUGCGGCGUCUUCCGACGGGCUCGGCAGCCGCGGGGAAGCUGCGGCGGUGGCGCUCUCGGAGCUGAGGAGCCGUGAUACGCGUGCUGCGGGCGUGGGUGGCGACGGCAAGGUCGCCGCGCAUGCAUCAUUCGUGCCGCGUGCCGUUGCCGCGCCCUUGCCCCCGCGUGAGAGUUCCUUUGUGAAUCUCGAGCGCUACCUUGCAGAUGGGCUGCUGCCACUGCUCUACGGCGAGUUCGUCCACUACUGCCGCGCUGUUGAGCAGUGGCAUGACUGUAGCUACCGUGCAGUGGCCCAUACCACUGUGGAGGCAACGACGGCGGCCGCCAGCACAGCGGCAGCCGCACCGGCUGCCUCACCACAGCAGCAGCACGCUCCCCGUCCAAGUGCACAGGACGGCGGCACGUGCUUGCCUUACAUGUCGCGCGCUGACAUCGAAACUUUUUCGCUGCUCGCCGCGGUGCUGCACCGGGCCCUCGGCCUGCGCGGUGUGGCUCGCUGCGGCGACGAGGUUUAUUUUGACUUGAACGGGCACGGCGCAGAUGCGUACACAUCUGUGGCGCCGAGAUCUCACGGGAUCGCCAGCGACCCGAGCGGAGGUGUGGGAGCUUCUGCCGACCAUCUCCAAUACGGGCGAGAGCAGUUGCGUGGGUCCAUGACAGAUGCUGCUCCUGCUGGCGCACCGCGGCCUCCGAGGAAGCCGCGGUGCCAGCCGGCUGUGCCGCUGCGGGCAUUGCGGCUCACGAUUGAGGCCAUCACCGCAAGGCUCGACGCGGAUGGCGGACCUCACACAGGAGCGCAGGAGCUGGUCUCCCGGAAUUCGAUGCAGCAGGUGCGCGCGGGCUACGAUGUGCGAACCUAUUCCCCGCCGCCGUUUGUGCCGCCGCUGGACGCACGGGGAGCGCGCGGCGGCGGCGACCCAUCUCCGCCGUCUUCAGCGUCAUCGCCCACAUCGAGGUUUGGCGGGGCAGCAGCGUCCUCUUCCGCGCGAUCACCGCGUGUGCCCUCGGCAACGGCGCCAUCGCCGAAGGCCGCGCGAGAGGGACGCUGUCAUGGUGGUUGCAAGGGCCACGACUGCAUGACGACAGGCAGUGGAUCACCGCGCACCACGACGACGACGCCGUCGCCGUUGGACGGAUUUGGCAACUUUAAUAUCGGUAGCUUCUUGCCGAUUCUCACCCUAUGCGCCCACGACCGCUCUUUCAACAUUUUCGUGACGACUGCAGCAGACAGGACCGGCGUCCAUGCUGCGACGACGUCAGUCACUGGCAGCGCCAGUCCUGCAAGUCCGACGCCAGCGGCGGAGCCCAGUGCACCGCCCGAGGAGGACGUGUCGGCCCUCGCCGCCGCCGUCUCGAGGCUUCUUCUCCUUGGUGUAUACUGGGCACCGCUCUGCCGGACGUACCAGCUGCCCGCGGUGCUGGCCUUCUUCGCUCGCGCGACGACAGUGGAGCUGACGCAUGCCGCUGCAGAGAAGAGCACGUCAGCAGCAGCAGCAGCAGCAGGGCCCAGCCCGCACCCCGCUUCGUCACAUUCGACCGCAGCCUCGCAGAGCACAGGGCCGGCGCGAGAGGCGGCACCGGCGCCAUUGGACACGAAAGUACUUCAGCUAGUACGUGACGCGUUUCUGCCCCCAAGUGACGAUCUCGCCGCACCGUCGUCGCCGUUCGUGCAGCAGCUGAGCCGCCUGAUCUACUCGAGCGGGCGCUACAUUGAGUGGCUGAACUUUGGCACAUUUGCGAACAUCGCCGCCACUCUCGACCGAGUGCUGUCCCAGUGGCCGAUGCAUCAUGCCGAUGUGGCAACGGCGGCCCCGGCGCGCUUCCUCAGCGGUAACGCUGAUGUGGGAUGUGGUUGCGCAAGCGACGACCGCGGGGGCGGCGGUGGCGGUGCUUGUGUUGCUACGGCCGCCACGGCGUCCAGCGGCGGUGAGUUGUCUUCAUCUGCCGCCACAAGCUCGUUUCAGCGUCACGACGUGGUCGCGCGAGCUGCCGGCACGACGCCAGCGGCUGAUGCGGCCGGUACUGCUGUGGCACCACAUGCGACGGGAUCGUGCGUCGUCUUCCGUGCGCCGGUUGCGGCCGGGAUGGCUACCUUGCACGUUUUCGCCGCCAUCGCGGACGAGUUCUGGUCUCGGGAGCAUGGACGCAUCAUGUGGCAAGCUAUUUCCAGACAGGCGAGACAACGCCUGGCUGUCAUGUCGAGCACGGCUCUCAUGCGUGCGUACUCGACGAGAUUCUUAGGGUUUAGCACGCACACCUGCACGUACACACGGCUCCGAGUGGCGGUGCCGAACGUCACCGGCGAUGGCACGACGACGACGACGGCGGCGGCGAACGGGGUUCGAGAAAUUCUGACGGUGCCCUUCUACGUACUGCGGCUAAUGGGAGUGCGCAGCGCGGCUGCCGAGAGUAUGGGCACGCCUGAUGAGGUGCUGAGGGUGUACCGCACGAGCGAGCGUGCGGAGUCCUACAUGGCGGUGCUGAACGCCCUCGGCAGCACCACGGCAGCGCGCCCGCUUAUCUGCGAGUAUCUGAGAAGCGACUUUAUGUGGCGCACCAUCCCGAACGAUGCCUUUGUGCCGCUGGUCACGGCUUUGGUGGAGCUGGAGUUGACGAGUAUGACGGUGCCGGAGCUCUUGUGGGUAAGCGGCAGCCUGGAGCACAGCACUGGCCCGAAGCAUGGCCAGACCGCCACCUGGAGUCUGCCGGGGCGGUUGGCUGGAUGCUUCUCGUCGCACACGAUGAAGAGCUUAAACGCGCGCGUCGAGCCACACGAGCUGCGACUCCUGACCACAGACGAUGAAGAUGCUUACACCUUCUGCAUGGAAACCGACGCUCGCGAGCUGCAAGAGAUGACUGGCACGGACAAUCGCCACGGCGGUGGCAAGCUCCCUCUUCUCCACUUCACGCUGCGCCGGAUCAGCAGAGAUGGUCGCGUGCUGGAUCCGCCGCCGUCGGCGACAACGACGCCCAGCGCCGUGCGCGGGCACACGGGUGGGCGAGGCAGUGCCACGCGAUCGUCCACCGUCCGUCACGCUCCCCGCCAAGGCGCUGGUGGGGGCCGAACACCGACACGCUUCGUCGGUGCACCGACGUGCUACAGCCUCGAAUCGGUGGCGAAGUUGCUGUGGGAGCCCGCCUACUCAAAGUCGCCCAAUGAGGGCGCACGAAUGCCGCUGACAGCCUUUCCGCCGCUACUUCGAUCUAUGACGCUGCUGUCGGAAGCGGAACGCCGCGUUGACGACGCCAUGCUGCAUGACGCCGCCGACCUGCGCCGCGAUGGCGCCUCGCCUGGCAGCAGCGAGUGGCACGCAGGCUCAGAGCCCCUGAGCCUUUGCAACGUAGAGCUGAUCUUGCGCAUGGCCUGGCGGCUACUCUUCGGCUCUGCCUCUGAGGCCGCCGCAGUUGCAGCGCCAACGGAGGCGGUUCCGCUGGAGGCUCUCGUGACGUUGUACCUGAGCCUCACCAGCGUCGCGAGUCAAUGGACCGCGUCGUCGCACACUCGCGCCCUCGGCGCGCGUGCUGCGUCGCGUGAGCCGGCCGAGACGUCUCCCGUCGCGGGCGAGCGCGCGCGCAGGAUCGGGGGCGCCGCCAAGGCGUUGGCGCCGCCAUCCAUCUUGCUGGCGGUGGAUUGUUGCUUGGCGCACUGCGAAGCCGCCCUGCGACCGCGGCUGAUGGCGAUCGCGCUUCACACGGACGGCAGCGGCGCGGGUGACGCUGCAUGCAUGAAGCCGGAGCGCGUAGCGACAGACCUGCGGGUAUCGCUGCAGCUGGCAGUGCUGACGGAGAGACUCCUGCCAUGCCCGGCAAAUAUGGCCGCACCGGCGACGGCGGGUAUGCCCGUUCACGAGCUGAUCCACCGGCAGCUGUUUUGUGAGCUGAGGGCGAGCCUGCGCGAGGCACCGCUACAGCGGAUCGCUGGAGAGGUAUCGCGGCUGCCGUGGUGGGUAGCGCGGCGCGCGCAUGCCGAAGUGAGCGGGGACGGCACGUCGCCCUCGACCUCGUGGGUCGAGCCGCUUUUGCUACGGGAGAUCGGCGCCAAACGGCUGCCGGUGACCGAGCGCGCCACUACCGCCGCCGCCGCGCCAUCGGCGGCGUCGUGCUCGAGUACGAGCCACCACAGCUUCGAGCUCUUUGAGUGGGCAUUGCUGCCGUUCUACGCGAAGCUGGAAGCACGCCAGCAUGAUGCCAACGCGGCCGCCACGACGGCCGAUAAGGCUGCGACUGCACCAUCGCAGCCACAUUCGACAGCAGCACCGAUGAUGGACAGCUUCCUCUGCCUGGAAGAUGCGUACCAUGACUCUGCUGCUGGGCUUGCUGCGCACCGGUGGUCGCCGCAGUCAUCGCUUCAUGGGCUUUCCACCGGCCUAUCGUCCGGCGCCACUACGGAUGCCACUAGCGUCAACGGCGACGGCAGCACGACAGCGUUCCAGACCAGCGGCCGCUCCUCUGCGCCACACAUGGCGACGCUCGAGGCUGCUCUGAACGCCUUGCCAGCCCAAUGCGACUCAUUUCACAUCCUCCUGCACGUGGUCCGGCAGCUGUUCCUGUCGCACCCGGUUCUCCUGUCUACCGCACCCGACGCCGCGCUUUACUAUGAGCUACGCACUGCCCGCACGGCGCCCGACCACGAAAAGAGCAUCGCGUCGGCCGCUUCAAGUGCUUCAGCGCCGGAGCACGUUCUGGGGGCGGCAGUGGGACGGCAGGCGUGGGCGACGCUGCCGACGCAGCGAGUGGAUCUGCCACACGACCUGCGCCAGCGCUACGUCGACGCCCUCUUCCGUUGCUUCAAGCGACUCGUGCCUCACCACAGCUGCACUGCAGAGGAGCUGGUGGAGUUGCUCCACCUUCUGUGGCUGGCGGACCCACACGCCUCCCGCGUCGCUUCCUCGGCUCCUUCGUCGUCGACGAAGGCAUCGACGUCGCAGUGGCCGAGCCUCUUCGCACGCUGCAGCGCCUUCGUGAAGGGGUCGCUGGCUGAGCUGGACGCUGCCGUCGAGAUGCAGGACACAAAUCCCAGCUUGAAGGAUGGCAAAGACGUCGGCGCAUCGCCGUGGCUACUCCGGAGUGUGCCGGAUGUGCUUCAAACGGUGUACCGCACUGUGCACUACGGCCUCACCAAGAGCAUCGUGUUCAAGCCUCGAGAGAUGCACUGGCUCUCCGUCAACGCCAUGGCCCUUCACCCACGAUCGAUGGUGCUCUUCCUGCACUGCCUCAACAUCGUAAGAGGGCUGGAAGAGCAGCGCCAGCAGCACGCCUCCACGCCGCAGCCGCUGUCAAAGCCGCCGUUGCCGCAGCGGCAGCAGCGAGCACAUCACUCGCUGAACAGAUUGCACAAGAGCACACUCGAGCUCUUCCAGCCCUUCGUUGUGUAUGCCUCGAUCACCGGAGAGGCGAUAUCGGGGGUGGCGAAGAUGCGCUACAUGCCGCUGAUGCUGGGACCUUUGAGCGACAUGGACCCGCAGUUGGUGCUCGUCCUCAUUCAAGCCACGUUUGCAGGGGCUAUGUGGUCCAGCGAUGCUGGAAAGGAUCCACAUGGCCGUGGCGGGGGCAGCAGCCGGCGUGAGCGAGCGAACGCGGGGAACGCCGUCUUCUAUCGCAAGAUGCUUGCUGCCUCACAGACGGGGGUAGGCCCCAUGCGGAUGGGCCAGAAUGGUCAUCUCCAGCCCACCCGCACGUUGGGCGAUGGAGGCGUGCAGAAUGCACGACGACUUCCGGAGAGCAUUGCGGCAACGAUGGCGGCGUUGUUGAUGGUGGCAAGUCACGUGCAAGCGUCGUCGACGGUGUGGGCCUCGAACGGAGGAGCAGGAGGGCACGGGGAUGCAUAUUCGGCCAUGGGCACACGUGCGGCCCCGCAGCGAGCUCCAUCGGCGCACAUAGGCAGGGCGCAUCAUAGCGCGCUGAUUUUCCUUCGCAAUUCGCUUUAUGAGCUGCUCCUGCUGGCGCGCUCGCGCCGACCGCUGCAGUGCGCGUCCGCCGUCACGGUCGUCCAGGUAAUGCAGCUGGCGGUGGUGCAAGAGAGCCCGCGAAUGGCGAGGCUGCUGGAUUGGCUCUUCUUGAGCCUGCUCAUACCACCCGUGCAGAUUGUAGAGAAGGCGAUCGUUCCCGCCGCCACGAAUGCAUCGUUUCACCGCGGGAGCGGGUUCGCCGCAGCCCCUCUGGAGCUCCUCUCCUCGCCUGCCACCGCCAACACCGCCACCGCCGCUACUCUCACUCAGGGCGGCAGCGGCAACGCCUGCGAAAGCAGUGACAAGUACAGCCUUGUCAUCCCUGUAGACACCCUCGGGGGCACACGCUUCCCAGCCGCGCACGAGGCCGUGCUGCUGCUUCGCCUGCUGCCGGUGCAGUAUUGGCGCUCUCUGCUGCAUCGUGAUGUCUGUUGGCCCAGGUACCGCGGGUACGCGCUGCAGAUGCUCAACAGGCGUUGGCGUUCGCUGGCCGUGAUGAGAAGCGACACCCACACGGCUGAUACGAUGCGACAUCCCACACUCAACAAGUGGAAUCAACUUCGCGGCUCGCUGUCGUCACUCUUGCUUUCACUGGACGUCGAGUCGAUCGCGUGUCUCGUGGCGGAGGCGAUGGGGCCGAUGGUGCUGUUGGUGGUGACGACGGAGCUGCUGCGCGUGUUGGCACGGCAGCGCGCCUGCUCGGGCGACAGCCCUACCACCGCACGCAAGGAGGCGGAGGGCAUGCCACGCGCCGUAUGCGCUGCGAUGCGAACUGCGCCGCACACCGACGGCUGCCAGCACGCGCAAGCGGACGAGUGGCCAGCGGGCAUCGCUGCACCGAGUGACGCAGGCGACGACACCCUCUCGCCCGCAGCGUUGACGUCGUUUGAGGUGGUGCGUCUUUAUGCCUCUCCUAGGUCCGUGCUGACAGACGAGGCGGUUCAGCCGUGGCUGGAAGCGGCGUGCAAUGUAAUCGAUCAGCUGGCGAGUACGCGGCAUACCGACUUCGUGGCGGUGCUUGAGCGGGAGGCGGAGUGGCAGAGGCGCGUGACGGAGGCCUCUUCGUAUCGCGGCGCGGCAGCGGAGGAGGUGCCUCUUGGAGUCUUCCACCGGACCGCCGUUGAGGCAAAGGCGGCGGCGAGAGCGGCUACCAAGGGAGGCGCCUGUGAAACCGCUGCGCCCGUGCUUGACAUCGGAGAGGACGGCGUAACUGAGGCCAGCGGCGUCGGCGACGGUGCUGAGGCACGCGAUAAGGCUGCGCUUGACUCUGACACCGGCGCACCGACGGCAGGCGACGACGUGAGUGCUCUUGUAGGCAGCGACGGAUGCGGUGCACCGACGACGGACCUCUUCGCUACCACGGCCGCCGCGCUGGACGACGCCGCGGGCGAAUGGUCUGAGGACUCAGACGCGGCAGCAGAGCGGCCGCUCGUGCUUGACUGGAGGCCAAUCGCCGAGUUUGUGCGCGCAGUGCGUGAGGUGGAUCCAGGCAUCUCACAACGGCAGGUGCGACUGGAGUGUUUGAUGCGCCAGCCGGAGCUGGCGGCGGGCGCGCCAGCGGAGGCGCAGGCGCUGCCAGCGGCGCGCACUCGCCCCUUCUCGCCAGCAACGACACCGACCGCUCCGUCAGCGUCAUUCGCAGAGGCAGCCGUGGCGGGUGAUAUGGAUGAUGCCCGUGAUGUGCUGCACAACGCUGCUGGUGCCAUCCUGCAGCAUGCACGCGCGUACUGGCAGGCGGCGGAUCGAGCGCAUGGUGUGCGGCCGCUGUUGAUGAUGAACUUGCGCGACGCUCUGAACUUUUAUUCUCUCGAUACGCAGCAGGUCUGCCAUACCGGUGACGGCGCCGCUGGCGGGCAGCUGGUAAGCCCCACUUACGAGGGCGAUACAGCCAAAGCCCCGAGCAGCACCGCCUCUUCCGCAGCCAGGGACAGCACCCGUGACUCUGCCGAGAUCGUGGAACAGGCUCGCUGGCUAGAAUACGUCACUGGCGGCAGCGACUUCGACCGCAGCAACGAUCCCGCUGCGUCCUGGAACAGUCUCUCCACGACGAUGGUACUUGGGCUGGUACGCCCCUGCCCCGCCCUCUCGGUGCCAUCGAUUCGCGCGCCCAGGGCAACGGGUGAGGCGACGACGGUUGGCGAACACAAGCGUCGUCGGAUCGCCCUGCUCCGACGCGCCGGUGUGCUAGCCUCGGCGCAGGAGAUGGCAGAGCGGUGUCGCGCGUACGGGCUGAGCUGCGCGAUGCGGCGUGACGGCGCGCGCACGUGGCUUGUCACAUAUGCGACAGAUUUUUGGCGCCGGAAGUCGCGGCGGCUGCAGCGCGAGAUUUUUGAGUGUGUUGUCGGUGACGACGAUGUCGCGGCGGCUGCACGCGCACGCUUGCACGCGUCUGCCAGUGGCGUUUCAGCGAAUCGCCAUGCAGGGGCGGCCAGGCAGGAGACAGCAGCAGCCGCGUCCGUGGCAGGGCGGCCCGUGAUGGAUGGACGCAUGUCUGACGUGGAGCGUCGUGCCCGCCACCGGCUCCAACUUCUCCGUUGCGAUGACCUCGCGCAGCUACUGCUGCUCAUGACGUCCAAGACGUCGGGGGCGCUACCGUUGCCGAGUGCGAAGGGUGGAGCCAACACGGGCACGGAGGCAUCGCUCUCGCUUCUACAGCUGAAGAUGCGUGUCGUGAUGGAAACAAUGGCGGAGCUGCUGCCGAGCGCCUCCACGAACGAACUGAUGCAGGUGGUGCUCGCGCUUCUCAAGCUCUCGAUCUCUGCCGCAGCGACCGACGCCAGCAGCACGGACGCGACCGCGUCCCAGCUUCUUCACUACGUGUGUCUCGAGGCGCGGCGCCUGCUGGCGAAUGUGGCGGUGCUCGUCGCCAACGAUGUGGAGCGCUUCACCUUUGGCGAGCUGCUUUGGCUCAUCACGCGGCUGCACACCCCAUGCAUUCGGGCGGCGGCACCGCCUCGCGCGCAGUCGGCUCAGCAGGCGGAAGGCGGCGCGGCGGCGCGGGGCGAGACGUUCCCGAGGCCUACGCACGGCAAGACGUCGGGAGAUGAGUCUCUCGAUGUGUCGAUGUCUUACGUGUCAGCCGCUGUCGCGCGCGCCAUCCGCGUUGUCAUUGAGGGCUCCAACGACCCCACGGGCGGUGAGCGAGGUGACUGUGCUGACCCUCACGAUGAAAUCGGCGAUGACACUGAUGUCUCGACUAACAGGACAGCUGCCUUUGACGACGAGGUGCCCGUCAAUUCUCAGUCGGCGUCACCCGUGACAGUGGCGCAGUGGGCCAAGGCCGUCGCUGCGGCAGAGCAGCUGCAAGGGAAGUCGCAGAUGCAAUACCUGCUGCAGCUGGUGGAGCGCUCGGCGGUGUGAGCGAGCGCUUUACAUUGUUGUGUGUGUGCGUGCGUGCGUGCGUGCCAUUGCUUGUGUGCCGCGUUUAAUGUCUUGGGCGUGGAUUCCGCAUAUUCGGCAACGUGAUGGGCAGGAAAGGGGCGCCCGGCGGCGCAUAUCCGUGGCACCGAUCACCGCAAUGCGAACAGCGUCGAGGUGGCAGAGGGGCGGGACGGUGCUGCGAACAGAGUAUGGAGGAACACGGAACACUGUGGACGGAUGCGCAAGCAAGCG
rnacentral:misc_RNA from 1 species